rnacentral:tRNA from 1 species
GGCCUCGUAGCUCAGCUGGUAGAGCGUGCGCAUACAAAGCAUAGGGAGCGCUCAUGCGUGGGUUCGAAUCUCACCGAGGCUA